rnacentral:rRNA from 1 species
AUGGGCGCAAGCCUGACCGAGCGACGCCGCGUGUGCGAUGAAGGCCUUCGGGUUGUAAAGCACUGUCGAGGGGGAGGAAAGCCGCAAGGUCUGACCUAUCCCUGGAGGAAGCACGGGCUAAGUUCGUGCCAGCAGCCGCGGUAAGACGAACCGUGCGAACGUUAUUCGGAAUCACUGGGCUUAAAGGGCGCGUAGGCGGUCGAUCAAGUCUGGGGUGAAAUCUUUCGGCUUAACCGGAAAAGUGCCUUGGAUACUGAUUGGCUGGAGGGAGGUAGGGGCAGUUGGAACUUCCAGUGGAGCGGUGAAAUGCGUUGAUAUUGGAAGGAACGCCGGUGGCGAAAGCGAGCUGCUGGACCUCUUCUGACGCUGAGGCGCGAAAGCUAGGGGAGCAAACGGGAUUAGAUACCCCGGUAGUCCUAGCCCUAAACGAUGGGUACUAGGUAGUGGACUUAACAUGGGUUCACUGCCGAAGCAAAAGUGUUAAGUACCCCGCCUGGGGAGUAU